CCUGGGGUGGGCGGUGCCCUCUCCCCCGGAUAUCCGGCGCUGGGCCAGGCUGGAGCUGCCUGGGUCUGGGCACGUUCUGUUUGCUUACUGCUUUCUUUUUUUGCACAAGCGGUUUCCUGGCUCCAUAGACAUAUUUUUCUAAAUGAAUGUGGAGGCAGCCAGACUUGUUGGGUGACUCUUUCACAGUCCCCGCGUUUGAGACACGCAGAGGCGCCUCACCUCUGUUUUCCUUCCUGCGAGGGACGCCAGACGAGGCUGGCCAAGCUCUGUCCAGCUGGCCCUGGAUGACUUCAGUUAACCCUAAGCUUGGUGACCUUUGCGCACAGGGUUAA
rnacentral:lncRNA from 1 species